GCAAUGGCUUUCUUUAAAGCCCCUAAUAGUCUCAAAUCCAUUGUUU
rfam:Nelumbo nucifera unplaced genomic scaffold scaffold00022, whole genome shotgun sequence